rnacentral:misc_RNA from 1 species
GGAAUUAGGGUUCUUAAUCCUAAUGUAAUGAGGAUUGCAAAACUCUAUAAAUAUGGUCUAGGAUUACAGAUUUUAUUGUGAUGAGUGACUAUUAAUUUUGAGAAAACAAAUUGAGAAUUUGUUUCAUUUCAAUUUGAGAAUUUGGUCUCACCCUGAAUCCCUUAAUACCUAUUGGUUCUAUGUCAGUGUGUUUUUCUUUUGUUGUACACAAUACCUUUCCUAAUUAUUUUUGUUCUUUCUGUCAACUUCUUUCUUCCUAGACUGCUAUUUAAUAAUAGAUUAUAUUCUUUUUUAUUAGCUUAUUGCUUAUUGCAGAAAAUUUCUUGUUUCUAUGAACCUUUAAUGUUUUUGUUUGUCAUGAAUAUCACAUUAUUUUUUACCCUCUUAUAUAGUCACUUGCAAAUUGCACAUGGAACAAUAUCCAAGAAUUACUUUAAUUUUUAAAUGAGUCUUGCUGAUGGCAAAGCUUCUAGGGAGCUUGGUGGCCCUACUUGUCUAAGUGAAGGAAAUACAUCUUAACAAAAACACAUAAAUAAGUAAAGGAGAAACAUUUUCUCUUGCAUGUGGUCACUUGCAUAUGAUGCUCGUCAAACUAAAUGAGUUAUUCUGUUAUUUCUGCAAGUAUGGAGUGACUUAUGGGACCUGGCAGAAAAAGUAAAAAAUGGAUUAGAAGAAUUGGAGGAACAAAAGGCACUAAAAACUUUGACUCGUCAUGGAAAUUAAGGUUAAUUGUGAAAAGGAAAUCAAGGAAAUUGAAUUUAUUGAAUUAAUUUUUGCUGCACUAAAUGUAGUCCGUGUCUUGAAGAAUGGUGAAGAUUGAUCAUCUUUUACUGAUUUUGCUUCAUUAUGGUUCAGUUCUUCAUGCUUUGGCCACAGAAUUGCUAUAUUUUCUAAUCAAAUUUCAUGAUGCUAGCUAUCCAAAUUUUUAAGAAACUGAGAUAUUCUAUUGCCACUGCCACCUUUGGGAUUUUUUUUUACUAGUUAUAUUUUACAUUUCAGGCAAGACUACCUAUGCAAUAA